CGCAAGUGUAUUCCUAUACUGUUGCGUUUAAAUAGCUCGUAGUUGGAUCUGCGUGUUUAGCGCGCGGUGCUACUUUAUGGUAGCUACUGUGACGCGACACUGUACGCUGACUGCAUGCUUUUAAGCAUACCGUCAGCAAGUUUACUUUGAACAAAUCAGAGUGCUCAAAACGGGCGUUUCGCUCGAAUGUUCUUGCAUGGAAUAAUGGAAUAGGACCUUGCGUUCUAUUUUGUUGGUUUUCGGGACGCGGGUAAUGAUUAAGAGGGACAGACGGGGGCAUUUGUACUGCGACGUGAGAGGUGAAAUUCUUGGAUCGUCGCGAGACAGACUACUGCGAAAGCAUUUGCCAAGAAUGUUUUCAUUAA
rnacentral:rRNA from 1 species